rnacentral:rRNA from 1 species
ACGUGUAGCAGUGAAAUGCGUAGAUAUGUGGAGGAAUACCAAUGGCGAAGGCAGCCCCCUGGGAUAACACUGACGCUCAUGCACGAAAGCGUGGGGAGCAAACAGGAUUAGAUACCCUGGUAGUCCACGCCCUAAACGAUGCCGACUAGUUGUUGGGAAUUUACAUUCUCAGUAACGUAGCUAACGCGUGAGGUCGGCCGCCUGGGGAGUACGGUCGCAAGAUUAAAACUCAAAGGAAUUGACGGGGACCCGCACAAGCGGUGGAUGAUGUGGAUUAAUUCGAUGCAACGCGAAAAACCUUACCUACCCUUGACAUGUCACUAACGAAGUAGAGAUACAUUAGGUGCCCGUAAGGGAAAGUGAACACAGGUGCUGCAUGGCUGUCGUCAGCU